GGUAGGUGUUUGUGUUAAUGCCUAUAAGGGGAAAUCAAGUUCCUGGUCAUUUUCUUAGGUACAGUGAGUUUUCCAAUUUGUCACUCAUGGUUUUAGUUUUCUAGAAACAAAAUUUGGUUCUGCACAACGUAUAUGUAUAUCUUUUGAUGUGCUCUCAAAUCAUUUCUUCUUGGGAGAAGUUUACAUUUAGCAUGGAGAGAUCAAAGGCUUUCUGUGAAGUGUGAACCAAUAAUUCAUGGUUUCUGAAUAUUUUACCAUCAGGUACUUCUCCUGUUUCAACAAUGUAUCCCUGAUUUCUAGACUUAGUUCUCUAGGAAUAUAAGUCAGUACAAUCUAUCCUAACUUUGUAAGGAGUUACGAACUAGUUGCACUCCAUAUCCUGUUACUUCAUUGAUGUGUGCAACAUUGCCGAUUAAUCAGGAAUGCUAUUUUGCCUAUCAUGAUUGCAUAUGUAUUAGUUAUUGCCUUUUCGUUGCUUUAAAAAUCUUUUGAUGAGUAGCUCAAGGCAGUUGUGUUGUAUCUGUUUCUUCAUGAAAUACCAAAAUAGUGUCAUCUUAGUUUGUUGCUAAAAAUUGUUUGUUAUCUACAACUCUACCUGCUAAUCCUACAAAUGCCAUCUUAGUAGUAGUUAUCUACUACAACUCUUAUGUGUUUCAACUGUUUCCUAGAAAUUUGCAUCUGCAUUAUAGGCUUACAUGUUCUUCUUCUUGUUUCCUUAUUCUCUGUGUCAAAACACAGAACCGACUCAAGUUAGAAGUGAAGAAAAUGGAGGAUUUUAUCACCAUGAAUUCUUUGAUAUGGCACAUUGGGGAUUACUGUUGAUUGAUCAGAAAAUACUCUAGAAUCGUAGAGGAGAACUAACAAUGGAAUAACAAACUGAAGAUUAAGUGUGAUGUCCUCUAAAAUCUGAUGAUUGUGGUAGAUUGGACGAAAGAAUAAAUGGUCUUGGUAUGCCUUUUUUAAGUUGAAUAAUGUAUCAUAACAUUUGUCAUCUGCUUCUUCUACUACUGUUGGUGUGCUAAGGAGAGGAUCAGCCCACCGAAAUCAUUGAUUUGGUAUUUUCUUUAUGUGCUCAUGGGAGACUAAUCAACCAAAUUAUUGCGAUGGUAUUGUCUUUUGCCCUAUCCCCACAUUACUCAACCAUUAUUUGUACUUCUGUACUAACCAAUGUAUUCAUAAUUUGUAUCAACCAAACCCUGACUACAUAAGUAAUGCAUUCAGGUGCUCUUGACUCUGGUCUCUUCAUCAGGAAAUUACAUUUCCCAGGUUUGGUUUUCCCAGCAGCUAUGGGCAGUAGUGGAUGUGUGUGACCAUUUGUGGAUUGGUGAGAGAUAAAAAAAUCUGCAGGACAUCAAUACCAUAAGUUGGAAGUGAAAGAGGCUUCUUUUUUGCUGUGUACCAGAAGACAAUUGCAAUUGGCAGCGAGAAUGUAAACAAUACCCAGUUUGUUUUUCAGAUUCACAUAGGUCUGCCUUUUCGAAGAUAAAUAAUAAAUGGAGUUGUAAAAUAGUGUUGUGUGUACUUCAGUGCAAAAAUGUUGGACUUAUACAAAUUAAUGAAACUAUUUAUACCAAGC
rnacentral:lncRNA from 1 species